AGUGUACUCCAUCAGCAAGUUUAGUGCUCACUGAUCAGGCUGCACACACAGGUGCAGUUGGAGUCUUCAAAUCCUUCUUCGGCACUGAAGUAUCUGAAUCAACGAUGGUGCCAGUGUCUGAAGUAUUUGCUGAUUCCCGUAUUGUUUUGUCUGUCCACAUGUAAUAGAAAAUUAAGUAUGCUUGGUGCACAAAAUGGGGCAAACAAAUCUUUAUAAAUCUUCAAUGUAUUUCCUUUGUAAUUAUUAUAUAACAAUAGAGAAGAAGAAAAUAAAGAAGGUACAGGUAA